rnacentral:lncRNA from 1 species
UAUAAAGUGUAGGACUAAUGUGUAGAUACCCAAAAGAGUAACCUUAGUUAAUGAUGGGCUAACUAAGGUUACAUACAUGUAACCAAGGUUACAUUCUUUUGACCUUUGAGUUUCUUAACUCACAUGUUGUAAUAAGGGGGUUAUGGUUCCCACAAGAAUGCAAGACAUUCUCUUCUUCUUCCUCCCAUUGAGAGAGAUGGCAUAAACUUGUUCUUGCAUAUCAAGUGGAAAGCCAAUCGUCACAUUUGUCUUGGUUAUCAAGUGAAAGCCUAAACUUCAAGACAAUCUUCAAGAAGGAUCAAGGAGCUUCCAGAAGGCAAACCUUGGACAAUCUUCAAGAAGGAUUAAGGAUCUUCCACUUAUGGAUUCAGGUACACUUCCGCUUAUGUUGUUAUUUCAAAUAAUUCGAUAUGAAGGCUAUAGUGUUAUAGUAGGAUUUAUAAUCCAACACUUUACUGCAGAUUGUGGUCUAGUUACUCUCAAGAAUCGGAACAAUGAUGAGAACAGGGAUAUUUACCUAUACCAUGUCAAUAAUCUGGCUGAAGUGAGUACUCUUUAGUUGAUCAAAGAUCAUCUGUGCAAACCCUUUCUCAAAUUGAAACGAAGUCUUAGUUGCAGAUGCUAGCCCGAGCUGAACUACUUAUGAUGCACCAUUUCGUUUGCUGGAAUUUGUUUUCAUUUUGGCUGAUACUGCUCAAGUUUACUAUUACUUGAUGCUCUAGUGAUAUAACUUUCUCAUGAGUUUAUUUCGAGAAAUUACUUUUAUGGCUUUUAAUCACAAGAGAUUACUUUACUUAUUUUUAUUACCACAAAACUUGCCAACUGAAACAAUUUAGGAAAAAUGUGGACACUCGAUAUUGUGCUCUAAAUACCAAAAUAGUCACGUUAAGUGAUAUGGAAAGUUCCCUGAAUAAUAUAAUUUCGAAUCUACAAAUAAUCUGAAUUCAUAACUCUUCCAGUUCAGCUCCACUUUUUCUGUUUUUUAGAUUCUUAUCAUGGUUGUACAAAUCUG